UCUCUGUAUAGCUUUAAGCCUAGUGGCGAAGUCAAAGAUGAUCUCAGCAAUCACUGCUGGUGUCCACACUGUUUUUCCACGCUGGGAGGAACCUGGGAUUCCUCCGCCCAAAUUGCAGUUCCUCCCCCAAAUAUUCAGGAUACGAAUCAUCAUCAUCAUUAUGAUCGCUAGUUUUCUUCUCCGAUUUGUUAAUUGUGGCUGGCAUUGGACAAGGAGGAACAAUGAGUGUCCUCUGUUUGUGUUAUUGGUAUGGAAGCUGCUCUCUUGAUCAGCAGUAGCCUCAAAUGUUAUUCGAACAGGAUUCCGAGACAUUGUUCUGAGGUACUUGUCCAGACUCACUGAGAAGUUUCCAUCAACUAGUAUUCUACUGGGCCUUCCUUCAUCCUCAACUUUGUAAAGAAUAACUUCAUUUUCCAGCUCAUCAUUGAACACCUAAUGAUUAACAACAGAGUGAUUUAUAAACCUUUCUAUUUGGGUUUCCGUCCAAGUUUUGAAUUUCGUCACUGCAUAUUAUCAGAGCUGCUUCCUCAUUGACUCCUUCAUCUAAAGUUGUAUGACCCAGCAACUACUGUUGGCAGGUGAACGUGACUCCAUCCUAGUUUCGACGCCAUCCAUCAAAUCCUCUUCAGUAUCUUGUACCUUUAAGAAUUUUAUGAGCAACGAUUGAAGAACUGUUGCUGAGUGUCACUAGUGUCACUUGUAUUUUCAGCUCAUUAGAAGGCAGUGGACAAGAGGACAAGAGAUGCUAUUAAGCUAUUUAUAUAAUUUAUUUAUGUGAUCUGUAAUUAUAAAAUUUGUGUUAAAUUUAAU